rnacentral:rRNA from 1 species
ACACGCAUGACACACUGCAUAUCAAUAAGCGGAGGAAAAGAAACUAACUAGGAUUCCCUCAGUAACGGCGAGUGAAGCGGGAAGAGCUCAAAUUUGAAAUCUUAAAGGUUUUCCCUUGACGAAUUGUAGUUUAAAGAAGUGUUUUCUGUUGGAGUUUCGGUAAAAGUUCGUUGGAAUAGGACAUCAUAGAGGGUGAGAAUCCCGUAUUUGACCGUUACUUUCCAGCUGUGUGAUACACUUUCAAAGAGUCGGAUUGUUUGGGAAUGCAGUCCAAGAUGGGUGGUAAAUUUCAUCUAAAGCUAAAUAUUGGCGAGAGACCGAUAGCGAACAAGUACCGUGAGGGAAAGAUGAAAAGAACUUUGAAAAGAGAGUUAAACAGUACGUGAAAUUGUCAAAAGGGAAGCGUUUGACACCAGUGUUGUUUAGUUCGAAAAUCAAUUACGAAUAGUUUGUUUUGAUUCUAAGUAGUAUUGACUUCAUCAGCUUGCUGCUUUCUUCUCAGAAAUUAUUGAAUGCACUUUUCAGUUAACAAGUCAACAUCAAUUUCUUUUGUUGUAAAAGGGUAAGAGGAAGGUGGCUUGCGCUUCGGCUCAAGUGUUUAUAGCCUUUUAUCUCUGCAAUCGGAGAGAUUGAGGUCUGCAGCGUAGAUCCUUCGGGGUUAGAUACAUUGGUGCUAAGCUAUAGCCUUGUAUAGACAACUUGUUGACUAUGCUCAGUCAUGUAGCUUACUCGCUGAUGCUAUUUUACCUACGCUUAGGAUGUUGAUCUACAGAGCGAGAGU